CUGCGAUGCCCUCAUUAGAGAGGUCUUCCUUUCUUCCUUACAUGUUCAUUUUUAUUGGAGGGUGCCGCCUUUGCGUCGCCCCCUCCAGCCCCGCUGAAUUCGCACCCUAUUUAACUCCUUGGUCCCUAAGAAGCAAAGGUCUCACCCCUACACUCAUCUUCCCGGCCUAGCACGGUGCUGGGACUCAGGAGGCCCUUGAUACAUUCUUAGGCAUCCGCUAGGAGAAGGUGAACGCCUGCCAGAAACAUCUGCAGGAAACGACCUUGGCUUCCUGCCCCCAACCCCAGACCAACUGUGACCAGGAGGGCCCCAGUCGCAGCCUUCAUGCCCUCGCUUAUUAACUAAGCUUCCCUAAGAGAGGAAUUCGAUUAUGCAGAACUGAUUGCUCUCCAGGGUCUAAGCUGUGUUUCCCCUGCUGCCAGAUGGCUUGGGGCCCACUGGUUUGAAGGGUAGUAAUGAUAGCUAUCAGCAGUUAAGGAACACACACCCUGCAUUUGGCCUGGACUAAAUCCUUUCUAUGCCCUACCUCAUUUAAUCCUCUCAGGUGGUACUAGCACUAUCUGUUCUGUGCAUACUUGGAAAAAGGUCAGAGAGGUUGAGUGACUUGCCUGGGGUCGCACAGGGGAGCCAGGUUCUAGCCUAAUUUCUUCUCUGCUGUGCUGGCACCUGGAGAUGUUCUCCCACCUGACUCAUUUCUUCCUCUCUUUUUCCUCAGCCGGACCCUGGGGAAGAAUCCACCAGCUGCUGGAUUCUCCCAUGGCAUUGAAACAGCCCCUGGGGUCAAACCUGUGGUCUUGGAUGCUUAAUGGGGGGUGAGGAGAGAGGCCAGUAUUUGUCCCUUUUUUUCCUAGUCAGUAAGUGCAGGGCUUUGGGGAGCACAGGAGUUGAGUUACGCUAGAUAAGCAGGGUCCCUAAUACACCUAGAUGUCUCUAGAUGUCACCUCUGGGAAGCUUUCUCUGACUUCCUCAGAGUUGGCU
rnacentral:lncRNA from 10 species